rfam:Erinaceus europaeus unplaced genomic scaffold scaffold00287, whole genome shotgun sequence
CUCCACGCUCUGGUGAUGACCCCACGUGCCCAUGAGUCUCCAUGAUUCUGGCUUCAAAGUAAACGCUCUGAAGACGUGGAGCCCAGA